CCUGAACGCUGGCGGCGUGGCUAAGACAUGCAAGUCGCACGGGCCGUAGCAAUACGGUCAGUGGCGAACGGGUGAGUAAUGAAUCGCUAACGUGCCCCGGACUCUGGGAUAGCUAACCGAAAGGUUAGGUAAUACCAGAUGACAUAACUGCCCUGCAUGGGGUGGUUCUCAAAGGUCCGCCGGUCUGGGAGCGGGCGAUUUCGUAUCAGCUAGUUGGUGAGGUAACGGCUCACCAAGGCGACGACGCGUAGCCGGACUGAGAGGUUGGCCGGCCACAUUGGGACUGAGACACUGCCCA
rnacentral:rRNA from 1 species